GUGUCCCCUCUGACACAGCUGAUUAAAUUGGACCAAUUCAGAGAAAAUAGAUUGACCCCUAACCAAAGAUGACACAAACAAAACAAUAAAUUCUUAAUCCUAGUUUUU